AUGCACCCACAGUCAUGCAGUGAGCUCACAGACACACCCACUCACAAACACACACACACCCACACUCACAGAGUACACUUGCAAAUGCACGCACUCACACAUGCACCCACACUCAGGCAGUGUGCUCACAAUGACACACCCACUCACACACAUAUCCACACUCAUGCAGUGCACUCACAGACACACACGCACUCACACACACCCACUCUCAUGCAGUGCACUCACACACACUCACAAACACACACUCACACACCCACACUCAUGCAGUGCACUCACAAAUAUGCACACACACACACAAUCACACCUACAGUGCACUCAUACACACAUGCACAAACGCAUGCAUACACCCACUCAUGCAGUGCACUCACAAACACACACGCCCACACACGCAGUGCAUUCACACACGCCCACACACGCAGUGCACUCACAAACACAUACCCACCACCCACAGUCACACUGUGCUCACACACACAUGCACACACACUCAGAGUGCACUCACACACACACGCACUCACACACCCCAUACUCACACAGUGCGCUUACAAAUACACACCCACCCACCCACACUCACACAGGUGCUCACAAAUACACACACCUACACUCGUGCAGUGCACUCACAAACACACACUCACAAACGCACAUGCACUCACAAACACAUGCACAUACACACACUCAUACAAUGCACUCACAAAUAUACAGUGUACUCACAAAUACACACAUGUACUCACACAACCCACCCACACUCACACAGUGCACUUUCAAAUACACACAUGCACUCAUACUCAUACAAUACACUCACAAAUACACGACUCACAAAUACUCACCCACACACAGUGCACUCACAAAUAUAUAUGCACUCACCCCCCUCCCCCCACCCCCACACACAAUGCAAUCACAAAUACACUUGCACUCGCAAACAUACACCCACACUCACACAACGCACUCACAAACACACCCACUCACCCACACUCACACAAUGCACUCACAAAUACACACACACUCACAAACACACAUCAACAUGCACAAAUACCCACCCACACAAUGGACUCACAAAUACACACGCACUCACAAACACCCACCCACACACACACACUCACAAAUAUGCACUCACAAACACACCUACUCACCCACACUCACAGAAUGCACUCACAAACACACACCAACACACACAAAUACUCACCCACCCAGACGCACAAUGCACUCACAAAUACACACGCACGCACAAACACCCCCAUCCCCACAAACACACCUCCAUGCAUACUCACAAAUACACACGCACUUAAGCACACACACUCAUGCACACUUGCACUCACACACGUGUGUGUGCACACCCACACAGCAUCCGGAUAUCUUGUUAAAGUUGUGUGGAAGGUUGCUGGUGAAUCUGGAUACAGCCUCAUGGGGUGUGUAAAGUGUGUCAUUGCGUGUGAUAACCUCCCAGGCAGCUGCGUGUACGUUGGCCUCAUUUAUCUAACUGAAUGA
rnacentral:lncRNA from 1 species